rnacentral:lncRNA from 1 species
NCCACGCAACCCCAUGCAACCCCAUGAAGUCUCAUGCAACCCCAGGCACUCCACACAACCCCACGCAACCCCAUGCACUUCAUGCAACCCCAUGCAACCCCAGGCACUCCACGCAACCCCAUGAAGUCUCAUGCAACCCCAGGCACUCCAUGCAACCCCAGGCACUCCAUGCAACCCCACGAAGUCUCAUGCAACCCCAAGCACUCCAUGCAACCCCAUGCAACCCCUCCCAACUCCAUGCAACCCCGUGUACCUCAUGUGCUCCAUGCAACCCCAUGCAAUCCCAUGCAAAUCCAUGCACUUCACGCACCUCCAUGCAACCUCACGUGUCUCACGCACUUCAUGCAACUUCAUGCAGCACCACACAACCCCGUGCAACUCCACACAACCCCACACAACCCCAUGCAACUCUUACACUCCAUGCAACCUCAUGCAGUCCAUGCAACCCUAUGCAAAUCAGUGCAACCCCCUGCACGUCAUGCACUCCAUGCAACCCCAUGCAACCCCAUGCAACCCCAUGCAACCCCUUGCACUUCAUGCACUCCAUGCAAUCCCAUGCAACCCCAUGGAAUCUAUGCAACCCCAUGCAUCUCAUGCAUCUCAUGCAACUUCAUGCAACCCCACACAACCCCACGGAUCUCAUGCACUCCUUGCAACCCCACACAACUCCACACACCUCAAGCACUUCAUGCAACUCCAUGCAACUCAUACACUCUAUGCAACCCCCUGCAAGUCCAUGCAGUCCCAUGCAACCCCACACAACUCAGUGCAACCCCAUGCAUUCCAUGCAACUCCAUGCAACCCCACACAACUCCAUGCAACCCCACGCACAUCGUGCAUUCCAUGCAACUCCAUGCAACUCCAUGCAACUGCAUGGAUUCCAUGCAACCCCACACAACUCCAUGCAACCCCAUGCAAAUCCGUGCAACUGCAUGAACCCCGUGCAACCCCACACAACUCCAUGCAACCCCAUGCACCUCAUGCAACUCCAUGCAACUGCAUGGACCCCAUGCAACCCCACACAACUCCGUGCAACCCUAUGCAUUCCAUGCAACCCAACACACUCCCAUGCACUUCAUGCAACCCCAUGCACUCCAUACAACCCCACGCACCUCCAUGCAACCUCACAUAUCUCAUGCACUCCAUGCAACUCCACGCAGCUCAUGCACUCCAUACAACCUCAAGCAACUCCAUGCAACCCCAUGGGCUUCAUGCAAUCCCAUGCAAAUCCAUGCAAAUCCAUGCAACUUCAUGCAACCCCACGUAUCUCAUGCACUCCAUGCAACUUCAUGCAACUCCACACAGCCCCGCACAAUCCCGUGCAACCCAUGCACUUCUUGCAAACCAACACAACCCCAUGCAACUCCGUGCAACCCCAUGCACUCAAUGCAACCCCAUGCAACUCCCCACAACCCCACACAACCCCGUGCACCUCAUGCAUUCCAUGCAACCCAACACAACCCCAUGCACCACAUGCAUUCCAUGCAACCCUAUGCAAACCCAUGCAAUCCCCUGCACUUCAUGUACUCCAUGCAACCCCAUGCAAAUCCAUGCAACCCCCUGCACUCCACGAGACCCCACACAACUCCAUGCACCUCAUGCAUUCCGUGAAACACCAUGCAACUCCAUGCAACCCCACGCAACUCCAUGCAACCCCACACAACCCCAUGCACCUCCUGCACUUCAUGCAACCCCAUGCAACUCCAUGCAACCCCACACAACCCCAUGCACCUCAUGCACUCCAUGAGACCCCACACAACUCCAUGCACCUCAUGCAUUCCGUGAAACCCCAUGCACUUCAUGUACUCCAUGCAAUCCCAUGCAAAUCCACCUAACCCCAUGCAACUUCAUGCACCUCCUGCACUCCAUGCAACCCCAUGCAACUUCAUGCAACCCCACACAACUCCAUGCACCCCC